UACGAGGGGGGCGAGCGUUGUUCGGAAUUAUUGGGCGUAAAGGGUGCGUAGGCGGUUUGGUAAGUCUUGUGUGAAAUCUUCGGGCUUAACUCGAAGUCUGCACUGGAAACUGCCGGGCUUGAGUGUGGGAGAGGUGAGUGGAAUUCCCGGUGUAGCGGUGAAAUGCGCAGAUAUCGGGAAGAACACCCGUGGCUAAGGCGGCUCUCUAGUACGGUACUGACGCUGAGACGCGAAAGCGUGGGGAGCGAACAGG
rnacentral:rRNA from 1 species